AUAUUUUGUGUGUACGAGAGGACUGUUAUUGACGGUCCCCGCGGCUGACGUCACGCGCUAGCAACCGCUUUGGAGAUAGGAGGGGGAGGGGGAGACAGAGAGUAGAGAGACACCGGUAGCUUUAGGACGUUAAAAGCCAUAGAACCGUCGGACGGGCCGGUCGCUACAAGAAACAGAAAAUAGUAAGAGCAGCUCCCCAUUAACGGUUAGAACAAUAACGACAAGGCUGAAAGCUCCCUUUACGAGUGACCGAUCAAGUUUCAACAGUUUUAAGCUAGCCAAAUUCUAGAAGCUGCUUUGUCCAUUAUCACUUUGUUAUAAUAUAACAGGACUUGAGAGUGGUGAAAGUGAUAACUCUGGAUUUGUAAACCCUGAGAGGUUGGGACUAAGUGCAGAAAGCGGUGGUGUUCGAGCUCACCUGCCGCCAGGACUUCUUCUCCGUCACUUCCACACCCGAAGACCGGGAACACCGGGAUUUUUUGUGGAUUUUUUUUAUUUUGUUUUUUUUUUUUUGUAAAAACACAAGGCGAAUCUAUAGUAUUACACACCGAGGAGAGAGGAGGAUAAACACAAACACACACACACACAGCACGGCAGGCACAAAGAGCGGGGAGCAUCCAGAGAGGGGAAGAAGGCGGACCGCACGGAGAGAUAGAGCGCGGUGUGAGGACAACAACCCGACUGAGCAUCCCUCUUUAAUUUCUGAUCUGCUCAGGAAACACUCUGCACGGCCGUACAGUACAAACGCGGAUCCUGAACGCCGUUUAUCCACGGAAAGACUCCUCCAGCAUCAGUCGCUCCUCUCCAGGGAUAGCUGCUCCCGAUCUGUUUGCCCCUGAGCCCUGCAGUACCCAGUCGUCCUCUCCACUUUGUCCCGAUGAAGGAGGCUGAUGCCAUCAAGUUGUUUGUGGGGCAGAUUCCCCGUAAUCUGGAGGAGAAGGACCUCAAGCCUAUCUUUGAACAGUUCGGCAAGAUCUAUGAGCUAACUGUGAUUAAGGACAAAUACACUGGCAUGCACAAAGGAUGUGCGUUUCUGACGUACUGUGCGAGAGAGUCUGCGCUGAAAGCCCAGAGCGCUCUUCAUGAGCAGAAAACACUACCAGGGAUGAAUCGGCCAAUCCAGGUGAAACCAGCUGACAGCGAGGGCAGAGGCGAGGACAGGAAGUUAUUUGUGGGCAUGCUGGGAAAGCAGCAAAGCGAUGAGGACGUCAGAAGGCUGUUUGAGCCCUUUGGCAGCAUAGAUGAGUGUACUGUCUUGAGAGGGCCUGAUGGCACCAGCAAAGGGUGCGCGUUUGUGAAAUUCCAAGGACAUGCCGAAGCCCAAGCUGCCAUCAACAGCUUGCACGGGAGCCGCACAAUGCCUGGGGCGUCGUCCAGUCUGGUGGUGAAGUUUGCAGACACAGAGAAGGAGCGGGGGUUGAGGAGGAUGCAGCAGGUGGCCUCCCAACUCGGCAUCUUCAGCCCCAUGACCCUCAAUUUCCCCGCCUACAAUGCCUACACGCAGGCGGUCAAUGCACAGCUUGUCCAACAGCAGGCCCUGGUUGCCCAGUCAGCGUACUUGUCUCCUGUGGCAACAGUUGCCGCCGUACAGAUGCAGCAGAUGGCAGCACUCAAUGCCAAUGGAAUCAUUGCCACACCCAUUACACCCAUCACACCAUCCUCGGGUACAAACACCCCCCCAACUAUUGCAGCAACACCUGUGCCAGCGCUUCCUCCACCAAUAGGAGUGAAUGGUUACAGCAGCGUGCCAGCUCCCUCCAAUGGGCAACAAACAGAAACACUAUACACCAAUGGCGUUCACCCAUAUCAAGCUCAGAGUCCAGCAGCAGCCUUGGACCCACUACAGCAGGCCUACGCAGGCAUGCAGCACUACACAGCGGCGUACCCUGCUGCGUACGGAUUGGUCGGGCAGCCGUUCCCCCAGCAGCCAACACUUGUUGCCCAGCAACACCAGCAGCCCCAGCAACAGCAGCAGAGAGAAGGUCCAGAGGGGUGUAACAUCUUCAUCUACCACCUGCCUCAGGAGUUCAGUGACUCUGAGAUGCUGCAGAUGUUCCUGCCUUUUGGCAAUGUCAUCUCAGCCAAGGUGUUUGUGGACCGUGCCACCAACCAGAGCAAAUGCUUCGGAUUUGUGAGUUUUGACAACCCAGCCAGUGCUCAGGCCGCCAUCCAGGCCAUGAAUGGCUUCCAGAUUGGCAUGAAGAGACUGAAAGUGCAGCUCAAAAGGCCGAAAGAUGCCAACCGCCCAUACUAAGUGACUACUGAGAGGAUGAAGAACAAGUGAAGAGAGAUCCUUCCGUCCAAUCAUAAUUCACGAGGACCCCAUCGCUAUGGCAAUGGUUGCCUAGUGACCGAUAAAGCCCCGACCCCCCCUUCCUCUCACAUUGUUGUGACCUUUCAGAGUCCAGCCGAGGAGGAAUCCCAGGGUUCAUUGUGCUUUCAGACUGUCUGCUGCCUGUGAGCGUACGCGGACUGCAGCCACACUCACGCAAACACACAAACAUACAUCAACACCGAACCUCAUAGGGUUCGUGGCUGAUAUGUACAUAAAAUGCACAAAAACACACACACACACUUGCUGACACUUACACAAAUACACACGCGAGUCAGUAAUCUCACCCAUACGGCCGAGACCUUGGUUUGACCGUAGUCUGUGUGGAACAGGGUGUUUAGUACAGCUAAGACAACUCAGACCAAGUGAGAAGGGUGAAAUCAACCUGCUGAUAUAUCACUCCAAUAGACUUUAACUUGUCUAUACCAUGUCUAAUACAUGACAAAUAUAGAGGGACCGAUGUUUCAUAAUAAAAACCCAAGAAAAUACAAAAAAAGACGACUAAAUGAGUAGGUUAGAGAGACUUUGGAGAAGAUCCUAAUGACCUGUAAAUAGUUUAGUUUACAAAGAGCAGCAUUUAAAAAACAAGAAAAAUGCAAAAAGAAUACUACUUUAGAUAAACACUGAGCAGGACACAGCAACAUUAUUAUUAUUAUUAUUAUUAUUAUCAUUAUUAUUAUUAUUACCACUAGUAACAUCAUCAUCUUCAUGAAAGGAAAAUACAUUCCAAAUUGUAAAAUGGGAAAUCACUAACCUAUUUUAAAUUUCUACUUAGACUUUAGGUGAAACACGGGGGAGGGAGGGAUUGCACUUUUAUUCGGGAGGUUUUAAUAUUUGAGCUAUUUUUUAUUUAUUUACUAAUUUAUCAAUUAUUUUGUUUAUUGGGAGAAAAGGGGGUUUGAGUGGGUUGCAAUAUUUUGAUUUAGGAUUUUCUAGAGGAAAAAAAACAACUUUUGAGGGUCUGUCUCUCUCACUUCUUGCAAUCGAGUAAUUAUAAUGUAUGUAUUAAUUAUUACAGCAAUUAUAUUUAUUUCUAAUUUAUUGAAUCCUGUUUUUGAUCCACUCUCUUUUUAAGUUUAAAUAAAAAGUAUCAUACUAAAAUGUCUGAUGUGUAAUCCAUGUGAGUGUUUGCAUGCAUGUGGGAGGGGAAGAAAGGGAGCAGGACUGGUCCAAUGAAAAUCUGCAUUUGGAAGGUUCAGCAAGGAAGAGAGCGCACAUCCAACUUUUCACCAGGAGGGGGCAUCGCUACAGUAAUCAGAGAAGAAGGAGAGAAUUGAAAUACCAAUUAAGCUGCACAGCUUGUGAUCUCAUUUCAUUCUUUAUGGGAGCAGGCUACUUUUCUAAUAGUAGAUGCAUUUGUCUUUCUCAGGAAUAAGUAUACAAGAGUAUUAUUUCUAAUGAUUAAUUUACCAAUAGAGAAAACUAUUUAAUAAUAAUGUGAUGUGUGCAGAGCACAUUUUUAAGAAACAAUUAUUAAGCUGACUAAAUAUGAGUCCACAGGUGUGGGAUUUGUUAGACCACUGAGAGGAUACAUUAAGUAGAGGAAAUUUUGAGCAUCAGACUUUUAAUUUCCUGUGCUUGGAUUUUAACUCCUUCUAUCCUUCAGUCUAUGGUGGACAUAUCUGGAUUUAGAUGAGGGGAUAUACACACACAACACACACAGCCGUCUACAUAAUCCCUAUGCUUCUCUAAUGUUUCCCACUGAGAUCUACAGCUACAAAAGUGUUUCCCUGGCCAAAACAAGUAAAUAAUUUAAUAGGAAGGGAUCAUUCUGACAUUUAUUACAAUAUUGAUUGAGGUUAGCAGCCAAAAAAGACCUCAUCAAUUUUAUUAUACUACAUUUAUUUUUUAUGGUGCAUGAGGCCAUUCAAAGAUAAGAUGUCAAAUUGGGAAUAUUCCAGGAUGUGAUAUUUUCAUUACCGCAUGGGCUUUCUUAAUAUUUUAUGUUAUUCAAGUAUAAAAUAUUCUAUUUAUUGAAGGUCUUUUAUCAUAGAUUGUGUUUGAUUAAACUUUUAGCUGUUGCAAAAAAUAGGUAAAUACAAUACAUCUCAUGUUAUUUAACCUUAUCUUUGUGACCAAUUCAAAUACUUGUAUGAUUCAAAGUUAAGUUAGGACCAAGACAUACCCCCACCCCCCGCCCUCACUUUGUGGGCCAAAUAUAGUAUUUAAUAUAAUUAAACUCAAGCACAGCCUUAUUGAUCUGAUCUGAACUUUGGCUGCCUGGAACAAACUGUUUGACAGGCUGGCUGUGAGUCAGAUAUGAAGAUCCUUUGACCCCUCAGCUGCUUCUCUUAUAGUUCACGUGUCACUAGGAAAAUAGUUAUAUCUGUAGAAAAUAUACAAAAUAAAAUAUCCUAUUGUAAUGAUCCUGUUAUUAUUAUUAUUGUUAUUAUUAUGUAUUUAAAAAAUAUUUGAUUAAACGCCCAGUAAAAUGUAACAGAAAGGUCACGAGUGAGUGGGACAUCACCAAAAGAUUUCUACAUUAUAGUAAACAUUCAGUCAACAGCAGAUGCUACGUCCGCAAAUAACGAGGUUAAAGGUCAGCCACGGCAAAGCUUCCAGCCGAUCAGAAAAGUAUUGUAAGUUACGAAAUGUAAAAAAAAUAUAUAUAUAGCUUUUUAGAUAAAAAACCAAAAACAAAUAUCAGACACUUUGGAUUAACACGGCUGUUUCGGAUACAAAGAUUUGGGGGUAAAACUUAUUCCGAGCGGAAACAAAACGCGGAUGUGUGUGUGAGUGUGUAUGAGCCAAAUGCUCUCUCAUGUGCUUGGACGUCAUCUGCGUCCCUCCCUCUCCGUUAUUCCCUCACUCCUCCCUCUCUGUCUGCGCCUCUCAGUCCGCUCUCCUGCCGGCCCGACCCCAUCCUCUGUCCGGCCACAAAGACCCCCGUCGACUCCCAGGACACACGAGGGGGGAUUAGCUGGGACACGACGAGGGAGGGGGGGAAAAAACUACCUGAACACUGCUGGGAGAAAAGCCGCCGAUAUCGCAUUGCAGCAUCUCACACAUUCUCCCCCAUCUGUAGCUCCCCUUUCCUUCCCUUUUUUCGCACAUUGUUCCCAAUGGAAACAUGUAAAAAUCAGUAAGCUGCGCCCUUCUGAGCACAACCAGCGGGCUGGGCACACUCAACGGGACCGUUAGCUUUUUUUUUUU